GAUGAACGCUGGCGGUGUGCCUAAUACAUGCAAGUCGAGCGAACAGACGAGGAGCUUACUCCUCUGACGUUAGCGGCGGACGGGUGAGUAACACGUGGAUAACCUACCUAUAAUACUGGGAUAACUUCGGGAAACCGGAGCUAAUACCGGAUAACAUGUUGAACCGCAUGGUUCAACAGUGAAAGACGGUCUUGCUGUCACUUAUAGAUGGAUCCGCGUCGCAUUAGCUAGUUGGUAAGGUAACGGCUUACCAAGGCAACGAUGCGUAGCCGACCUGAGAGGGUGAUCGGCCACACUGGAACUGAGACACGGUCCAGACUCCUACGGGAGGCAGCAGUAGGGAAUCUUCCGCAAUGGGCGAAAGCCUGACGGAGCAACGCCGCGUGAGUGAAGAAGGUCUUCGGAUCGUAAAACUCUGUUAUUAGGGAAGAACAAAUGUGUAAGUAACUAUGCACGUCUUGACGGUACCUAAUCAGAAAGCCACGGCUAACUACGUG
rnacentral:rRNA from 1 species